rnacentral:ncRNA from 1 species
AUAGGGGUGCCAUAAGGCUGAGAACAUACCCUAUGAACCUGAUCUGGAUAAUGCCAGCGUAGGAAUGCGGAUU